rnacentral:sRNA from 15 species
CCCAAAGGCAGUAUUUGGUAUUC